rfam:Viridibacillus arenosi FSL R5-213 Contig008, whole genome shotgun sequence.
UGUGAAAUAAAUCACAAACAAACAUACACCCCUUUGUUUGAACGUGAACAUUUCUCCCAUCCCCUUUGUGAAAAGAAGGCGUCUCUCGUAGAGGCGCCUCUUUUAUUU